rnacentral:lncRNA from 1 species
GGGGCGAGGCGAGGGUCUGGUCCGAGGCGAUGCAGUCCGAAGCGAAGUGGGAAGCGAAAGCAGGUUCGGUCCGAGGCAGCUAUCCGACGCGAAGGUAGAGUUCGGUCCGAAGGGUGGCUAGAACCGAAGCUACUGUUGUGAACAGUAGUGAACAGUAACUUCGGUUCGGACCUUCCUUCCAUGUGAGGUUCGGUUCGGACCUUUCUUCUUAGCAGGGUUCGGUUCGGAUCUCUUUCAUGGCCGGGUUCGGUUCGGAUGAACAGUACUUUCGGUUCAGCUCAUGAACAGUACUUUCGGUUCGGACCCUCAUGAAUAGUGCUUUCGGUUCGGUUCGUGAAUAGUACUUUCGGUUCGGAGGGUUCGUUCCCUUAAGUCCGUUUUUCGCGUAGACUUCCGUUCUUGGGCUAUUUUCGCCAAAUUCGAGGGUCGGGAUGCCCCGAGUGAUUAUAGAAAGUUGGGAGAGAUUUCGAGAGAGAUUUGAGAGAGAUUCCUCGUUCUCAGAGAGAUUUGGGAGAGAUUUGACGUACUUGGAGAGAUUUCGCAUACGAAGAGAUACGUGAGAGAGAUUUCACAUACUUAGAGAGAUUUGGGAGAGAUUUGACAUACUUGGAGAGAUUUCACAUACAAAGAGAUAUGUGAGAGAGAUUUCACAUACUUAGAGAGAUUUGGGAGAGAUUUGACAUACUUGGAGAGAUUUCACAUACAAAGAGAUAUGUGAGAGAGAUUUCACAUACUUAGAGAGAUUUGGGAGAGAUUUGACAUACUUGGAGAGAUUUCACAUACAAAGAGAUAUGUGAGAGAGAUUUCACAUACUUAGAGAGAUUUGGGAGAGAUUUGACAUACUUGGAGAGAUUUCACAUACAAAGAGAUAUGUGAGAGAGAUUUCACAUACUUAGAGAGAUUUGGGAGAGAUUUGACAUACUUGGAGAGAUUUCACAUACAAAGAGAUAUGUGAGAGAGAUUUCACAUACUUAGAGAGAUUUGGGAGAGAUUUGACAUACUUGGAGAGAUUUCACAUACAAAGAGAUAUGUGAGAGAGAUUUCACAUACUUAGAGAGAUUUGGGAGAGAUUUGACAUACUUGGAGAGAUUUCACAUACAAAGAGAUAUGUGAGAGAGAUUUCACAUACUUAGAGAGAUUUGGGAGAGAUUUGACAUACUUGGAGAGAUUUCACAUACAAAGAGAUAUGUGAGAGAGAUUUCACAUACUUAGAGAGAUUUGGGAGAGAUUUGACAUACUUGGAGAGAUUUCACAUACAAAGAGAUAUGUGAGAGAGAUUUCACAUACUUAGAGAGAUUUGGGAGAGAUUUGACAUACUUGGAGAGAUUUCACAUACAAAGAGAUAUGUGAGAGAGAUUUCACAUACUUAGAGAGAUUUGGGAGAGAUUUGACAUACUUGGAGAGAUUUGGGAGAGAUUUGACAUACUUGGAGAGAUUUCGCAUACAAAGAGAUAUGUGAGAGAGAUUUCACAUACUUAGAGAGAUUUGGGAGAGAUUUGACAUACUUGGAGAGAUUUGGGAGAGAUUUGACAUACUUGGAGAGAUUUCGCAUACAAAGAGAUAUGUGAGAGAGAUUUCACAUACUUAGAGAGAUUUGGGAGAGAUUUCACAUACUUAGAGAUAUGUGGGAGAGGUUUCACAUACUUAGAGAUAUGUGGGAGAGGUUUCACUGGUGACCUUUUUGAGUGUCCGGCUACGCACUGCAAGGUCCUUAAACCCAGUUAAGCCUUGAUUAGGGAUCUUGCAUACUCCCGAUGAGUAUGUAACAUUGUUGUAUCGGUUUGGCUUUCUACGUACCACCGUUUUAGGUUAAGGAGAUUUAGGUGAACGCACUUUUCGAUUUAUGAUCUCUCAUUAGAAUAGAGAGUUGUUUAGAAGUUACUUAACGUAAACUCUAGUACUCACGGCAAAUUGGGUUGACCGGUUUGACUUGUUGACUUUUGUUGACUU